GUGGGGAAUCUUAGACAAUGGGGGAAACCCUGAUCUAGCCAUGCCGCGUGAUCGAUGAAGGCCUUAGGGUUGUAAAGAUCUUUCAGGUGGGAAGAUAAUGACUGUACCACCAGAAGAAGCCCCGACUAACUCCGUGCCAGCAGCCGCGGUAAUACGGAGGGGGCUAGCGUUGUUCGGAAUUACUGGGCGUAAAGCGCACGUAGGCGGAUUGGAAAGUUGGGGGUGAAAUCCCGGGGCUCAACCCCGGAACUGCCUUCAAAACUCCCAGUCUUGAGUUCGAGAGAGGUGAGUGGAAUUCCGAGUGUAGAGGUGAAAUUCGUAGAUAUUCGGAGGAACACCAGUGGCGAAGGCGGCUCACUGGCUCGAUACUGACGCUGAGGUGCGAAAGCGUGGGGAGCAAACAGGAUUAGAAACCCCAGUAGUCC
rnacentral:rRNA from 1 species